rnacentral:rRNA from 1 species
UCUAACAUGUGCGCGAGUCAUUGGGACUUGUAAAGCCUAAAGGCGUAAUGAAAGUGAAGAUCGACUUCACGUCGAUCGAGGGAGGAUGGCUCGCGUCACGAUGCGAGCCCGCACUCCCGGGGCGUCUCGUGCUCAUUGCGAGCUGAGGCGCACCCAGAGCGUACACGUUGGGACCCGAAAGAUGGUGAACUAUGCCUGGUCAGGACGAAGUCAGGGGAAACCCUGAUGGAGGUCCGUAGCGAUUCUGACGUGCAAAUCGAUCGUCGGAACUGGGUAUAGGGGCGAAAGACUAAUCGAACCAUCUAGUAGCUGGUUCCCUCCGAAGUUUCCCUCAGGAUAGCUGGCACUCGCUAGAGCGAGUCUCAUCUGGUAAAGCGAAUGAUUAGAGGCCUUGGGGCCGAAACGACCUCAACCUAUUCUCAAACUUUAAAUGGGUGAGAUCUCUGGCUUGCUUGAACGUUGAAGCCACGAGAUUUUGCAAUGGAUCAGAGUGCCAAGUGGGCCAAUUU